GCGGCGUUUAGCUCAGUCGGUAGAGCAGCCGCCCCAUGUGCGGAAGCCCAGGGUUCAAAUCUGACAUGUGGCUCUUUCCCGCA